GUAGUCCGUACGAGCGCACCCUUGUCCUUAGUUGCUACCAUUAAGUUGAGAACUCUAAGGAGACUGCCGGUGACAAACCGGAGGAAGGUGGGGACGACGUCAAGUCAUCAUGGCCCUUACGACCUGGGCUACACACGUGCUACAAUGGGCAGUACAAAGGGUUGCGAAGCCGCGAGGUGGAGCUAAUCUCAUAAAACUGUUCGUAGUCCGGAUUGGAGUCUGCAACUCGACUCCAUGAAGUCGGAAUCGCUAGUAAUCGUAAAUCAGAAUGUUACGGUGAAUACGUUCCCGGGCCUU
rnacentral:rRNA from 1 species